UGAUAUCGGACGCCCGAGAAAGUUUGGG
rnacentral:sRNA from 1 species